GUGCUCGCUUUGGCAGCACAUAUACUAAAACUGGAAUGAUACAGAGAAGAUUAGCAUGGCCCCUGUGCAAGGAUGACACGCAAAUUCGUGAAGCGUUCCGUUAAAAA
rnacentral:snRNA from 1 species